GCCGGGGUGGCGGAACUGGCAGACGCAGGGGACUCAAAAUCCCCCGGGCCUUGUGCCCUUGCGGGUUCGAUUCCCGCCCCCGGCA
rnacentral:tRNA from 1 species